rnacentral:rRNA from 1 species
GCGUAAGGGCUCGCAGGCGGUUUCUUAAGUCUGAUGUGAAAGCCCCCGGCUCAACCGGGGAGGGUCAUUGGAAACUGGGAAACUUGAGUGCAGAAGAGGAGAGUGGAAUUCCACGUGUAGCGGUGAAAUGCGUAGAGAUGUGGAGGAACACCAGUGGCGAAGGCGACUCUCUGGUCUGUAACUGACGCUGAGGAGCGAAAGCGUGGGGAGCGAACAGGAUUAGAUACCCUGGUAGUCCACGCCGUAAACGAUGAGUGCUAAGUGUUAGGGGGUUUCCGCCCCUUAGUGCUGCAGCUAACGCAUUAAGCACUCCGCCUGGGGAGUACGGUCGCAAGACUGAAACUCAAAGGAAUUGACGGGGGCCCGCACAAGCGGUGGAGCAUGUGGUUUAAUUCGAAGCAACGCGAAGAACCUUACCAGGUCUUGACAUCCUCUGACAACCCUAGAGAUAGGGCUUUCCCUUCGGGGACAGAGUGACAGGUGGUGCAUGGUUGUCGUCAGCUCGUGUCGUGAGAUGUUGGGUUAAGUCCCGCAACGAGCGCAACCCUUGAUCUUAGUUGCCAGCAUUCAGUUGGGCACUCUAAGGUGACUGCCGGUGACAAACCGGAGGAAGGUGGGGAUGACGUCAAAUCAUCAUG